rnacentral:rRNA from 1 species
AAUGAACGUUGGCGGCGUGGAUUAGGCAUGCAAGUCGAGCGAGAAUCGUAGCAAUACGAGGACAGCGGCGAAAGGGAGAGGAACACGUGGAUACGUACCCUCGGGUUCAGGAUAGCCAUGGGAAACUAUGGGUAAUACUGAAUAACAUCUCCGGGUCAAAGGUGUGAUUCCGCCCGGGGAGCGGUCCGCGUCCUAUUAGCUUGUUGGUGAGGUAACGGCUCACCAAGGCAAAGAUGGGUAUGGGGUGUGAGAGCAUGCCCCCACUCACUGGGACUGAGACACUGUCCAGACACCUACGGGUGGCUGCAGUCGAGAAUCUUCGGCAAUGGGGGAAACCCUGACCGAGCGACGCCGCGUGCGGGAUGAAGGCCUUCGGGUUGUAAACCGCUGUCAGAGGGGAGGAAAUGCCGGUGGGUUCUCCCAUCGGUUUGACCUAGCCUCAGAGGAAGGACGGGCUAACUUCGUGCCAGCAGCCGCCGUAA